rnacentral:misc_RNA from 1 species
AACGCAACUUGCGCUUCUGGGUAUCCCUGGAAGCAUGCCCCUUUGAGUAUCGUUUCAACACAAACUCGUCUGCGUGCUUGUGAAUAACGAGCACGAUGUGUACGGUGAAUGAGCGUUUGGCCGUCGAAAGAGGGCUAAUCGUUUGAAACAUAUCAUACUCUAGUAUCAAUCGUUGAGCAUGUCUCACCUGGUUGAUGUUUGAUAAUUGACUUCGGUCAUUAUACAUCAUUACAUCGACAACAGGAGAUCGGUAUUCGUGUAUGUAUCAAGGAAUUGUAUUAAAUUUCGUUAACUCGAUUUUUAAUCUGACUUUGAUCUCAGAUGGAGUAAGAAAACCCGCCGAAUUUAA